AUACCUGUCUUUCUUGCCUACUUCUGCCAUUGAAAAAAAAUCCCAAUGGUAAGUCAUAAUUAUCAGUUAAAGAGUCGAAAUUAUGACAUAAAAAGUAGAAAUUGUGAAAUUUAAAAAAAUCAUGAUUACGUGUUACAAAGUCAAAAUGAUUGAAAGUGCUAAAGUCAUAAUUAUGAGAUAAUUAAUACUUAUAAUUUAAGUAGCGUCGCGACUGAGGCAAAAAUGGCUACACCUAAGCAAGGUGAGUAACCUGUGUCUUUAGUCAAUGUUCGAUGUUUGCCUCAUGUGCAUGUAUACUACUUGACCGUGAGCCGUGUGCAUUAAUAUUGCAUUAAUAUCUUGUUGAUUUUCUUUAUCAUUUGCCAGCAAAACAGUAGCAUGUUUAAUCAUCCGGUAAUGUAACUCCCCUCCCCCGCUGAAUACUUGGUAUUACCCAACCCGCUUUCUCGCCCUAAUGUUCAAUAUUUGCUGUAUGUUUGACAUGGGUGGGGACAGCAGAACUGUGGAAACAUGAAAAGAACACUAAAAGGCGGACAGACAACAAUCUUUCGUUGUUGGUCGACACCUACAGCUAAUUAUAUUGUUAAGGUACGUGAUGAUUUGUGACUGGAGGUUGGCAAAUGUCCAGUGUCCUAUGAGGUGAAGCCAGGGAGUGUCAGUUUUGCUGAGUUUGCUCCUAAUACAUGCAAAGUCCACACAGAGAUGUCCAAGCCCAAAAAGCAACACAAUAAAUUAUUCAUUCAUUCAUACAUUUUCUACCGCUUUUUCCUCACAAGGGUCGCGGGGGUGCUGGAGCCUAUCCCAGCUGUCUUAGGGCGAGAGGCGGGGUACAACCUGGACUGGUGGCCAGCCAAUCACAGGUCACAUAUAGACAAACAACCAUUCACACUCACAUUCAUACCUAUGGACAAUUUGGAGUGGCCAAUUAACCUAGCAUGUUUUUGGAAUGUGGGAGGAAACCGGAGUACCUGGCGAAAACCCACGCAUGCACGGGGAGAACAUGCAAACUCCACACAGAGAUGGCGAGGUGAGGGUAGAAUUGAACCCUGGUCUCCUAACUGUGAGGUCCACAAUAAAUUAGAUAUGCAAUAUUUUUAAUAUCCCAUCUUUCAACACUCUACUGGUGUACAAUAGUACUUGCAAAUAUACACAAAACAAACAUUAAAGCAUUAAACUGAUACAAAGCACAAAAAUAGACAUGAAAAAGCCACAUCAAACACAAGCAAGCAAGGUGCUGUAUCAUAGAAGAAGAAUUAACACUGAAGCGGCAUUCAGAUGUGACACAACACAAUUUCAAGACCACUUUUGCCUGUUCUAUUACCACAUAUCAAACGCUCCUCCAACAUAAGAUCGACCUCUGCCAAGUCAAUCAGCGCCUGCAAGAAGAUUAUAUUGAAGUAAAAGCAAGGAUGUCACACUCCAAGUCAUCAUACAAGGACAUAUCACCUGUCCAAUGAGGUCACGGCUUCUGAAUGAGGCAGAGUUAUUCUUCACUGAGACACUGAGCUGCUUCAACUUGACAUCCUCCACAGGCAGCUGGUAGUCAAACCUAUUGGAAGGUCACCAAAGAUGAUAUGGGUUGAGAUCUCGUUUCUUGACAGUCGUCUUCCUCUUGGUGGCUUUGCUUUUGUCCGGCAGCAGCGACAAGGAGACAUAGCUGUCCACCGCGUCCUUGCUGUCGCACAACAAACCUCUGUAUGCACACAGACAGCAUUUAGCCAACAUUCCAGUCACCCUGUUCAUUAUUGUAUGCUAGAAAUGAGGCUUUCUGUGGAGCCUGUUGUCUUUUCAUUCAAGUAUCCUCACUCUUUACAUCGAGCUUUACAUUUUCACCUUGUCGAUAUCCUCAAAUAGAUUGAUGCGGUCCGCAAGGGACAAAUAAACCCCCAAAUGGUGUUUAGUGUCACAGUAUGAUUAAUAAUAUAUGGCUUGCAUAUAUUAUGUAAACAAAAAUGGUCCACCGUGUGUGGGACCGCCCCUGGUCAACUUAGGGCCAGAAAUGACUAUCAUAGGAGGGGUGCCUCCAAGAAUACGAAUUAACAGAAGUAAAAUGUAAAAAAGGUCUGGGUUUGGAGUCAAACCAGCACCCUAUGCCUUAAAAGGCAGCAGCUGUACCAUUACACCUUCUCCAACGAGCACGGUGUCAGACUGUUGGUUUCUUAUUUUAACCAUCUCCCACCAUGGACUGACUGUGCUUAUGUCUAUGUCUCUAUGGCAAGGUGUCUAAAGUGUGGCCCGGGGCCCAUUUGCGACCUGUGGCCCACGGCACAUCCUAAAAAUAUAAUAAAAAGAACAGACAACAGUAAAAAUGAAAACUCGGCAGUCAUUUUACAAAACUGAAGUCAAAGUAUUUAGAGCAGGGUGCCCAUUACGCCAAGCUCCCGGUAGAUUGCCAAGGUAGUUUGGGUGGUGUGAAUGUGACUUUGUAGUCAUAUAACACCAUUCAUGUCUUCCUGGCAUCAUUUGCUAACAUGGCUCGGGUACUAGAUCUCAUUGGAGGGUGCGGGUGUGUGAGCCCCAAGUAUGUGCCCACCUGCAGGCAUGGAUGGUGAUGAUCAGCUUGUUGUCUUGCGAGUCAUAGGAAAGCGACAACUUCACCUGCCCGUUCCCAGAUCCACUUCCGGGAGCUACACAAGGCAGCGUCCCGCUACUGAUCAUCUCCGCCAUUCUGGACUCCAGGAUCUGUUAAAAAUAAUUCCAUUAAUAAUAAUUAUAAUAAUACAUUGUAUUUGUAUAGCGCUUUUCAAAAUACUUAAAUACACUUUACAGAAGAAUGGACUUGAAUAAAGCAAGUAAACAGAAUAGAAGACACACCAAAAUACAACAUUGAUUGGUUAAUACACAGUUAAAACAUGAGUAAAAGCGAGGCGGGGCACAGCAGUCAGAUAUAAAAAGUUAGACUUUAAAAACAGAUUUAAAGAGGUGGGUUUUUAGUUGUUUUUUGAAGGUGGGAAGGUCAGGGCAAGCACGGAGUGAAUGGGGCAAAGAGUUCCAGAGGGUGGGGGCAGCGAUGGAGAAGGCUCUGUCUCCCCAGGUUCGGAGCUUGGUCUUACAGGGGAGUGCCAGGAGGUUGGAGUCUGAGGAGCGAAGGGGACGCGGGGGAUUGUGUGGAUGGAGCAGGUCUGUGAGAUAUGGGGGGGUUAGAUCGUGGAGGGCUUUGUAGGUGAUGAGAAGAAUUUUGAAGUGAAUGCGUUGGGGAACGGGAAGCCAGUGGAGGUUUUGGAGGACAGGGGUAAUGUGUUCACGGGAGCGGGUGGAGGUGAGGAGGCAGGCAGCGGAGUUCUGAAUAUAUUGUAGUUUGUUGAGGGUUUUGGAAGGUGUACCGUAGAGAAUACUGUUGCAGUAGUUUAUUCUGGUUGUGAUGAAUGCAUAGAUCAGGGAUUCAGCGGCAGAGAAUGUAAGUGAUGGAGUGAGGGUGGCGCGGUCAAAUUGAAGAUAGAAGUUAUGGGUGGGUGUUGUGAUGUUUUUGGGACCGAUGAUGAUAAUAUCUGUUUUGUCACUAUUAAGUUUGAGAAAAUUUUGUUCCAUCCAAGUUUUGAUAUCAGGUAAGCAGUUGGUGAGGGUGGAGUAGAUGUUGGAGUUGAUGGAGAUGGUAGAAAUGUAGAAUUGAAUAUCAUCGGCGUAGCUGUGGAAAUUGAGGCCAUGUCGAUGGAUGAUAUUGCCAAGUGGAAGGAUGUAGCAUUACCGUAGUAAAUCCAUUACAUUAAACAUAUAUAAUAAGGCUGUGGAAAAUAAUCAAUAUUAAUCGAUACAUUGAUGCACAUGUGCGCAGCAUGGACGUUCGCACGCAAGCAGCAGCGAGGAAGUUUCUAUAUUUAACCCCCCCGCAACAUUUAAAUGGUAUGUUUGGAAACACUACAUAUUCUCAAAGAAUGGCGGAAAGCUCAACAAAACGUCCGCCAUUUGCAAAGAAUGCCGCGUUAAGAAGCCAUACAACGGCAGCAGGACAAACAUGCAGACCCCCUUAAAAAGGGGACCCCACAACACGGACAAGUCUACCGCCGCCUCUCCGUCCCUGCAAUAAGUGUGUCUCUCAAGUGUGAAACAAUUUUAAAUGGGUAGAAGUUGUUUUACACUUUCUGCUACUACUGUAUUAGCCUACCUCCUAAUGCAUUCAUAUUAGCAGUAAAUUAUAAUUGUAUGUGUAGUGUUGGACGAUGCGUGGGUCAUGUGAAUACAGGUACGGCCGGAGCAUGUGUUCUGCGUAGCGAGGAUGUGCUGUGAUAUGGUGCUGUUGAAUAUGGCCCUGGUGAAUACUAAGCUAAGUAUAAGCUUAAGAGCCCAUGUGCUAUGCUAGUGCUAAUUCCAUUAUGGGACUGGGAUGAGAGCUUGUGUGUCCCACAUUUCUGUGUGGAGUUAAAGCUACAAUAUGUAAUUUCUUGUAGUCAAUGAAAGUGUGAAAUACCUCAUGGUCAUUUCAUUAGGGGUGACUAUAAUUUCAGUUCUGUAUAAAUACAUUUCAUGGGAGUAAUGGAAAAGAGAAUAUAACAAUGAUAAGAAACAGUGGUCGAGAACAUUGCAAAAGUGUAUUUUGAGUUUAUUGAGGUGUGCUCAUAAAGUAAACUAGUAUAUUGUCUUUUGUUUGUUGGACAAUUUGUAAGACGAAGAAAAAGUUUAGUCAGUACAUGAUGAGACGUGUGCAGACACACAUGGUGUGCCCAUGACUAACCCAUGUUCCCUUGUUUGCAGGCUUUGCAACACAAUAAAUAUGUUGCACGGGACAUGAGUUGGCCCAUCAUUCUCUGCGGUGUUACACUGGCAGUGUAUCGAAUCGUCCUCAGUGCUGAGAUUCACACAUCUAGUAUAUACUAUCAUGUUAUAUGUACCAUAUUUUCACGACCAUAAGUCACAAUUAUUUUCAUAGUUUGGCUGGUCCUAAUUGAACAUGUGCUGCCUUAAGUUAAAGUGGUCGUUGGUUGCUUUUUUGGUGAUACUUUGUGGCCAUAAUAAUUCGUUGAGUUGAACUUGUGACACAGUUAGACAACACAAACUGAAUGAUAUGCAUCGUACCGGAUGCUUUUUGCUACGCAAUACUUUCUAACACACCCCUGCCUUGGAGACUGUUUAAGUUCUGUCUGUAAGCAAUGUGCAAUCAGCAACAUAUAGUCCGUGAAGUACAUAUCGGUUGGAGUCGUGUUUUCAUGCCCACCUUGAGCUCAAGCCUUAGGAGGACCUUACUAUCAGCCGCUGCUCCAUCCAGGUGGAACCACUGAUCCAGGAUCAGCUGUGGUGCAGCCAGCAGCUCCUUGACCGAGACCACCAGUGAACCCAUCGACUGGUCCCAGCCACUGGAAAACUGCAAGAAAACAUGACAAAAAUGAACAUUGUAAUAUCACUAUGAGCAGUGUUGUUAUAAUAAUGUCGUAUUGCCUUACCUUGAGCACAAGCAUCUGCUGUUUUGGGUCACGCACCAGGAAGUAAAAAGAUUCCCCCCACUGGGGACUGGUCGUGCGGUCACACAGCUGGAGAGAAAUAGUGGAAUAAACAAUAACAAAUAAACGGAACAUUUCAUGGUGUACGGUGCAUCACUCUUUAAGAGUCUCACUUUGGUUUUGUAGCUCAUAUCUCCAAGAAGAAGAUCAGCUCCUGCUUUGGGUUCCUUCCCACUCUUCUUCAGCUGGAAAAAUGUCAUCACUUAUGAGGACCUUUUCCAUUUUUUCCACUUGGGAUUGUUAUGCCAAGGAGACUUACAGGUAACGAAUGCGCUCUAUCCACAUAAACAAAGAGCAAAGCAGCAGAGAGGACCACUUUGUUUUUGAAAGCCUGGAGAGACUGAAGCUGCAGUACCUGCACAGGGCAUGAAGACCACACCUUUUCAUCAACUUUUGAUUCAAUAUAUGACAGUUUUAAAUUCAAAUAAGCAACCCAAAAUAUCAGAACCGCCUCUCAGGAUGAUACAGAUGCAAACCUUGUCAAGUUGGAUGGCGUGUGACACAGUAGGAACCCACUCCAGGAUCAAGUGAACCCGCCCUGACUUGACAUCAUUCAAAGUGUACCACUGCAACACAAGUAACGUGAGCCUGACACACCAAUAAGAAUACUACAGCACAAAAA